rnacentral:ncRNA from 1 species
AAUUAGGCGAUGAGCAGAAGGAGUAAAUAUUUUUUAUCAUUCAGAGAAGAAGUGGCUGGUGAGAACUUCUUGAUAUAAGUAUUGAAGCUAUCUAGGAGUCAUAGUGAUUUAAGAGAUGUAAAUGUAUAAUUUACUAUUAUAUAUUUAUGUAAUUAGGGUGGUACCGCGGAAAACUUUCGUCCCUUAA